GACGAACGCUGGCGGCGUGCUUAACACAUGCAAGUCGAACGAAGAGCGAUGGAAGCUUGCUUCUAUCAAUCUUAGUGGCGAACGGGUGAGUAACGCGUAAUCAACCUGCCCUUCAGAGGGGGACAACAGUUGGAAACGACUGCUAAUACCGCAUACGAUCUAAUCUCGGCAUCGAGGAUAGAUGAAAGGUGGCCUCUACAUGUAAGCUAUCACUGAAGGAGGGGAUUGCGUCUGAUUAGCUAGUUGGAGGGGUAACGGCCCACCAAGGCGAUGAUCAGUAGCCGGUCUGAGAGGAUGAACCGCCACAUUGGGACUGAGACACGGCCCAGACUCCUACGGGAGGCAGCAGUGGGGAAUCUUCCGCAAUGGACGAAAGUCUGACGGAGCAACGCCGCGUGAGUGAUGACGGCCUUCGGGUUGUAAAGCUCUGUUAAUCGGGACGAAAGGCCUUCUUGCGAAUAGUGAGAAGGAUUGACGGUACCGGAAUAGAAAGCCACGGCUAACUACGUG
rnacentral:rRNA from 1 species